CCUACGGGUGGCAGCAGUGAGGAAUAUUGGUCAAUGGGCGAGAGCCUGAACCAGCCAAGUCGCGUGAGGGAGUACUGUCCUAUGGGUUGUAAACCUCUUUUGUCGGGGAGCAAAAGCCGGACGUGUCCGGCUGUGAGAGUACCCGAAGAAAAAGCAUCGGCUAACUCCGUUCCAGCAGCCGCGGUAAUACGGAGGAUGCGAGCGUUAUCCGGAUUUAUUGGGUUUAAAGGGUGCGCAGGCGGGUUUUUAAGUUAGCGGUAAAAUCGUGGGGCUCAACCCCAUCCAGCCGUUGAAACUGGGGAUCUAGAGUGUGCGAGAGGUAUGCGGAAUGCGUGGUGUAGCGGUGAAAUGCAUAGAUAUCACGCAGAACCCCGAUUGCGAAGGCAGCAUACCGGUGCACAACUGACGCUCAGGCACGAAAGCGUGGGUAUCGAACAGGAUUAGAUACCUGGGUAGUC
rnacentral:rRNA from 1 species